rnacentral:tRNA from 1 species
GGCCUGUUAGCUCAGCUGAUCAGAGUGUGGUGCUAAUAACACCAAGGUCAUGGGUUCAAAACCCAUGCAGGCCA